rnacentral:lncRNA from 1 species
CUCUCUAUUCAUUUUCUCGCUUACUUUUGCUGAUUAAAAAAAUCGCAAGUUACAGAAAAUUUAGGAUCUAGCGAUCUCGACAUUCUGUCCAAUACAUUAUAUUCACCUGCAAAAAAGGUUUCCCUGAAUCUUUUUCCCCAAUACUACAUCCUUUUUUAUAGUUUAUUACUAUGAUAAGUAUUUCCAGUUACUGCAUUCCCUCAUUGAAAAAAAUCUGCCCCACAGGUCGAAGCAAAUGUUGCAAUCAGUCCACAACCUCAAUUCUGAAACGCCGUCUUAGAAAACCAUAAAUAAGGUAAUUCCUACUACUUCCUAAUGUGUUUUCUAAGUCAAUAGAAGCUACUACUUUUUAUAUAUCAAAAUCAUCUGAGCACUACACACAGCUUUACUGUUUAUGUUGCCUUCGCCUCAAAAUACUGAUUACAACAUCUUUAUGUAGUAUAUGCCACUAAUGUAUUUUGUAUGAUAGCAUGUAUACACCUAAGACAUAUGCCACAUAUGUGGCCAUGAACGUGUCAAACUGAUGUUUCCAUAAGCUUUAUAUAAUAUGCCACUAAAGUAUUUUGUAUGCAUAUGCACCUUGGACAUAUGUAAACAUGGACGACCCCUUUUAUAUGUAUAUACAUGUCGAUCUUUUAGACAACUAGAACAAACAACUUUACUGGAGAUGUAUAAAUGUUUACAAACACUGUUAACAUAAUUUUCUAUGAUCUUGUUUUUGGAAUGUUACUACAGUUCUGCAAGAGUUAUAUUACCAGCAUACUAAAAAAACAUACUUCUAACACACGUAUUUGAUAUUGCACGCAGGGCGCACAUCAUUUACUAGUACAAGAUAAUCAGAGGGGUACAACCUGUCAUUGAUUAAUAUUGGUCAUCUCAUUCAUUAAUUUGGUGAAAAAAUAAAUAUGACAACCUAUCAUUGAUUAAUUUAAAGCUUACACAAAAUUUGCAAAAUAUAAAAAGGAACAAAAAACAUAUAUGUGGGGUUAGGUGUACCUUGACAUUAUCUACGAGACCAAAUUUGGUGCAUUCAUCUUUAACAUCAAUCCCAAAAUCAGAAAGAAGCUCUUCGUCAGCCCGCAGAAUACUAUUGGUUAAUCCAAUAAGAAUGAUAAUAAAGUUGCUUUGAAGCAUGAACCUCAUAUGAACAAACUGAAUGAUCUAAUGUGCAACCAAGUACAAGAGCUAUCUCAGAUCAAAAGAGCAUAUAAUGCAGGAGGUGCCAAGCAUAUUUCAACUGCUUACUAUCAACUCAGCAAGGUUGAACAU